GGCUGGUUAGCUCAGUUGGUUAGAGUAUGGUAUUGAUAAUGCCAAAGCCCAGGGUUCAAUCCCCGUACCAGCCA